GUGUCGUGAGAUGUUGGGUUAAGUCCCGCAACGAGCGCAACCCUUACCAUUAGUUGCUACGCAAGGGCACUCUAAUGGGACUGCCGGUGACAAACCGGAGGAAGGUGGGGAUGACGUCAAGUCCUCAUGGCCCUUAUAGGUGGGGCUACACACGUCAUACAAUGGCUGGUACAAACGGUUGCCAACCCGCGAGGGGGAGCUAAUCCGAGAAAACCAGUCGUAGUCCGGAUCGUAGUCUGCAACUCGACUGCGUGAAGUCGGAAUCGCUAGUAAUCGUGGAUCAGAAUGUCACGGUGAAUACGUUCCCGGGUCUUGUACACACCGCCCGUC
rnacentral:rRNA from 1 species